rnacentral:misc_RNA from 1 species
UGUGGGAGCGAGCCUGCUCGCGAUAGCGGUUUCACAUUCAACGCUGAUGUGACGGGUGAAUCGCUAUCGCGAGCAGGCUCGCUCCCACA